rnacentral:sRNA from 1 species
UAAAAAGAACAUACACUGUUAUUAGAUUCGAGUAUAUGCCGUGAUGUUAACAGAGAAUAUAAUCAGUUGCCA